rnacentral:sRNA from 1 species
UCGGGAGUGACGCAGGGACCGCCACCUA